rnacentral:misc_RNA from 1 species
CCUUGUGGAGGAGGACGCCGAAGGUGGGGCUAAUGACUGGGGUGAAGUCGUAACAAGGUAGCCGUACCGGAAGGUGCGGCUGGAUCACCUCCUAACAGGGAGACAACAAAAUGUAAAUAUUAAUUUUGUCACCUUAGGUCGAUCGGUAUCUCAGAUUCUUAAAUAUUUAAGAAUUUUAGUUUCUAAGUUUUUUCUAGGUCACACCCAUCACUUUUUCCUGGGCCAUUAGCUCAGGUGGUUAGAGCGCACCCCUGAUAAGGGUGAGGUCCCUGGUUCAAGUCCAGGAUGGCCCAUAUCUCUAUGUUGGGGGUAUAGCUCAGUUGGUAGAGCGCCUGCUUUGCAAGCAGGAUGUCAGCGGUUCGAGUCCGCUUACCUCCACUGAAUACCACCUCUUACAUAUUGUUAAAGAGGGAAAUUGUUUUUGAGUCGUGUCCUAUCUACUCUGAGCGAAUCUAGCUUCCUAUUUUUAUCUCAUAAAUAAGAUGCUGGACUCAUUGGAUUUUUUAUCCAUUGUUUUCAGAGAACCUUGACAACUGCAUAGAUUAUUUUGAAGACAAUAAGCAUCUUUAAUGAUGCAGAUUUAUUAUUUGUGCUAAGGCAUUAAAUAACAAUUCUAUUAAGCUGAUGCUUCAAUUAUUGAAGUCAUUGGUCAAGCUACAAAGGGCUCACGGAGGAUAC